UACGGAGGGUGCAAGCGUUAUCCGGAUUCACUGGGUUUAAAGGGUGCGUAGGCGGGUAUAUAAGUCAGUGGUGAAAGCUCCGGGCUUAACUUGGAAAUUGCCAUUGAUACUGUAUAUCUUGAAUAUCGUAGAGGUUAGCGGAAUGUUGCAUGUAGCGGCUGAAAUGCUUAGAUAUGUUACAGAACACCAAUUGCGAAGGCAGCUAACUAUGCGAUGAUUGACGCUGAGGCACGAAAGCGUGGGGAGCAAACAGG
rnacentral:rRNA from 1 species